rnacentral:snRNA from 1 species
UUGCUUCGGCAGCACAUACACUAAAACUGGAACGAUACAGAGACUGGCAUGGCCCUGUGCAAGGAUGACAUGCAAAUUCGUGAAGUGUUUCAUAUUUAA